UACGGAGGGCGCAAGCGUUGUUCGGAAUUACUGGGCGUAAAGCGCGUGUAGGCGGCCUGACAAGUCGGGUGUGAAAUCCCGGAGCUCAACUCCGGAACUGCAUCCGAUACUGUCAGGCUCGAGUCUCGGAGAGGAUGGCGGAAUUUCCGGUGUAGAGGUGAAAUUCGUAGAUAUCGGAAGGAACACCAGUGGCGAAGGCGGCCGUCUGGACGAUGACUGACGCUGAGACGCGAAAGCGUGGGGAGCAAACAGGAUUAGAUACCCUGGUAGUCCACGCCGUAAACUUUGGGUGCUAGACGUCGGGGGUAUUGACCCCCUCGGUGUCGAAGCUAACGCAUUAAGCACCCCGCCUGGGGAGUACGGCCGCAAGGCUAAA
rnacentral:rRNA from 1 species